GAGUUUGAUCCUGGCUCAGGACGAACGCUGGCGGCGUGCUUAACUCAUGCAAGUCGAACGGUAAGGCCCCUUCGGGGGUACACGAGUGGCGAACGGGUGAGUAACACGUGAGCAACCUGCCCUUGACUCUGGGAUAACAGUUGGAAACAGCUGCUAAUACCGGAUACGACCCUGGAUGACAUCGUCCGGGGUGGAAAGCGCUUUAGCGGUCAAGGAUGGGCUCGCGGCCUAUCAGCUUGUUGAUGAGGUAACGGCUCACCAAGGCUUCGACGGGUAGCCGGCCUGAGAGGGCGACCGGCCACACUGGGGCUGAGAUACGGCCCAGACUCCUACGGGAGGCAGUAGUGGGGAAUAUUGCACAAUGGGCGCAAGCCUGAUGCAGCAACGCCGCGUGCGGGAUGACGGCCUUCGGGUUGUAAACCGCUUUCAGUUCCGACGAAGCUCAUGUGACGGUAGGAACAGAAGACGGAUCGGCCAACUACGUGCCAGCAGCCGCGGUGAUACGUAGGGGCCGAGCGUUGUCCGGAAUUAUUGGGCGUAAUGGGCUUGUAGUCGGUUUGUUGCGUCGUAAGUGAAAACUCAGGGCUUAACCCUGAGCCUGCUUCCGAUUCCGUUCCAAUAAAUGGAGCCAGGGAAAAAUGAAUUCAGGGGGGACCGGUUAAAUGUGAAGUUUCAGGAGGAAAACCCGGUGUGGAAGGCACUUCUAGGGGCCAUUCCUUGACGGUGUGAAGAGACAGCGUGGGGAACAAACAGUGUUAGACACGAUUGUAGUUCUCAGCGUCAACGGAGGGCCAGAGGUGUGGGUAACACUCCACGUUCUCUCUGGGAUUUUAGCACUCUAAGUCUACCGCAGGAGGUGCACGGUCGCAAGGAUAAAACUCGAAGGACUGUAUGGGAAGCCGCACAAGCGGUGAAGCAUGAGGAUUCAUUUGAGGCACCACGAAGAGCCUUCAAUGCGUUUGCCAUCUGCAAUAAAGGUCCAGAGAUGUACCCUACGCAUGGUCGGGAUUCAGGUCACGCAUGUGUCUCGUCAGUUUGUUUCGUGAGAUGUCGGAUUAAGUUCGUCGGCGAGAACAACCCUCGCAAUAUGAACCAGUCGAUAAUCACGGGGACUCAUAGCAUCAUGCCGGGGUCAACUCGGAGGAAUUUGGGGAUGACGUCAAGUCUUCAUGUCCGGUAAGUACAUGGGUUCCAGCAUGGUCCAACGGCUUGUCCAAAGGGCUGCGAAUCGACACGGUCGAGAGACUUUCAAAAAUCCACUAUCAGUUCGGACGGGGGUCCGCCCCUGGACGCCAAAGAGUUGGAGUCGCAAGUAGUCGUCGAUCAGCAUCGUAUCCGGGAAUACCUUCCCGGUCCUUGUGCUAUCCCAGAGUCAAGUCCAGAAAGUCGGUAUCUUCUCAGCCUUUGGCCACAACCGUUGUGGAGGGAGGGGUCGAAGGGGGGCUGGAUCACCUCCUUUCU
rnacentral:rRNA from 1 species